rnacentral:rRNA from 1 species
CGCUGGCGGCAUGCCUAACACAUGCAAGUCGAACGAUGCCUUCGGGCAUAGUGGCGCACGGGUGCGUAACGCGUGGGAAUCUGCCCUUGGGUUCGGAAUAACUCAGAGAAACUUGAGCUAAUACCGGAUGAUGACGUAAGUCCAAAGAUUUAUCGCCCAAGGAUGAGCCCGCGUAAGAUUAGCUAGUUGGUGGGGUAAAGGCCUACCAAGGCGACGAUCUUUAGCUGGUCUGAGAGGAUGAUCAGCCACACUGGGACUGAGACACGGCCCAGACUCCUACGGGAGGCAGCAGUGGGGAAUAUUGGACAAUGGGCGAAAGCCUGAUCCAGCAAUGCCGCGUGAGUGAUGAAGGCCUUAGGGUUGUAAAGCUCUUUACCAGGGAUGAUAAUGACAGUACCUGGAGAAUAAGCUCCGGCUAACUCCGUG